UGUAUGUGUGUGUGUGUGUGUUGUUCAAAUUGUGACCCCAUUUGGUCAUGAAUUACCAUGGGAUUGCAUCUAGAAAGUUACUCUCCGAGGCACAAGUCUGGGCAAGGUUGUUUAUGGAAGACCAGCAGUCGCCCACGCAUACCAACCUCC